rnacentral:rRNA from 1 species
GAUGAACGCUAGCGGCAGGCCUAAUACAUGCGAGUCGGACGGGAUUCAGGAGCUUGCUCUGCUGAGAGUGGCGCACGGGUGCGUAACACGUAUGUAACCUACCUUUAUCAGGGGGAUAGCCUCUCGAAAGAGAGAUUAAGCCCGCAUAAAAUCACAGCACAGCAUUGUGUAAUGAUCAAAUAUUUAUAGGAUAAAGAUGGGCAUGCGGAACAUUAGCUAGAUGGCGGGGUAACGGCCCACCAUGGCGACGAUGUUUAGGGGAUCUGAGAGGAUGGCCCCCCACACUGGUACUGCGACACGGACCAGACUCCUACGGGAGGCAGCAGUAAGGAAUAUUGGUCAAUGGGCGGAAGCCUGAACCAGCCAUGCCGCGUGCAGGAAGACGGCCCUACGGGUUGUAAACUGCUUUUAUACGGGAAUAAACCCAGAUACGUGUAUCUGGCUGAAUGUACUGUAAGAAUAAGGAUCGGCUAACUCCGUG